AUUGAACGCUGGCGGCAGGCCUAACACAUGCAAGUCGAGCGGAUGAAGGGAGCUUGCUCCUGGAUUCAGCGGCGGACGGGUGAGUAAUGCCUAGGAAUCUGCCUGGUAGUGGGGGAUAACGUCCGGAAACGGGCGCUAAUACCGCAUACGUCCUGAGGGAGAAAGUGGGGGAUCUUCGGACCUCACGCUAUCAGAUGAGCCUAGGUCGGAUUAGCUAGUUGGUGGGGUAAAGGCCUACCAAGGCGACGAUCCGCAACUGGUCUGAGAGGAUGAUCAGUCACACUGGAACUGAGACACGGUCCAGACUCCUACGGGAGGCAGCAGUGGGGAAUAUUGGACAAAGGGCGAAAGCCUGAUCCAGCCAUGCCGCGUGUGUGAAGAAGGUCUUCGGAUUGUAAAGCACUUUAAGUUGGGAGGAAGGGCAGUAAGUUAAUACCUUGCUGUUUUGACGUUACCAACAGAAUAAGCACCGGCUAACUUCGUG
rnacentral:rRNA from 1 species